rnacentral:rRNA from 1 species
UACCAGCACCCCGAGUGGUCGGGACGUUUAUUGGGCCUAAAGCAUCCGUAGCCGGUUCUACAAGUCUUCCGUUAAAUCCAGCUGCUUAACAGAUGGGCUGCGGAAGAUACUAUGGAGCUGGGAGGCGGGAGAGGCAAGCGGUACUCGAUGGGUAGGGGUAAAAUCCGUUGAUCCAUUGAAGACCACCAGUGGCGAAGGCGGCUCGCCAGAACGCGCUCGACGGUGAGGGAUGAAAGCUGGGGGAGCAAACCGG